UGCAAGUCGAACGUGAACGGGGCUUCGGCCCUUAGUAAAGUGGCGCACGGGUGAGUAACACGUGGAUAAUCUGCCCUUAUGAUCGGGAUAACAGUCGGAAACGGCUGCUAAUACCGGAUACGCUCAAAAUGAACUUUUUGAGGAAAGGUGACCUCUGCUUGCAAGUUACUGCAUGAGGAUGAGUCCGCGGCCCAUUAGCUAGUUGGUAGGGUAACGGCCUACCAAGGCGACGAUGGGUAGCCGAUUUGAGAGGAUGAUCGGCCACACUGGGACUGAAACACGGCCCAGACUCCUACGGGAGGCAGCAGUGGGGAAUAUUGCGCAAUGGGCGAAAGCCUGACGCAGCGACGCCGCGUGAGGGAUGAAGGUUUUCGGAUCGUAAACCUCUGUCAGAAGGGAAGAAACCGCACCGUGCUAAUCAGCGGUGCAUUGACGGUACCUUCAAAGGAAGCACCGGCUAACUCCGUGCCAGCAGCCGCGGUAAUACGGAGGGUGCAAGCGUUAAUCGGAAUUACUGGGCGUAAAGCGCACGUAGGCUGCUUUGUAAGUCAGGGGUGAAAUCCCACGGCUCAACCGUGGAACUGCCUUUGAUACUGCUUAGCUUGAAUCCGGGAGAGGGUGGCGGAAUUCCAGGUGUAGGAGUGAAAUCCGUAGAUAUCUGGAGGAACAUCAGUGGCGAAGGCGGCCACCUGGACCGGUAUUGACGCUGAGGUGCG
rnacentral:rRNA from 1 species